rnacentral:rRNA from 1 species
GAUGAACGCUGGCGGCGUGCCUAAUACAUGCAAGUCGAGCGAACAGACGAGGAGCUUGCUCCUCUGACGUUAGCGGCGGACGGGUGAGUAACACGUGGAUAACCUACCUAUAAGACUGGGAUAACUUCGGGAAACCGGAGCUAAUACCGGAUAAUAUAUUGAACCGCAUGGUUCAAUAGUGAAAGACGGUUUUGCUGUCACUUAUAGAUGGAUCCGCGCCGCAUUAGCUAGUUGGUAAGGUAACGGCUUACCAAGGCAACGAUGCGUAGCCGACCUGAGAGGGUGAUCGGCCACACUGGAACUGAGACACGGUCCAGACUCCUACGGGAGGCAGCAGUAGGGAAUCUUCCGCAAUGGGCCAAAGCUUGACGGAGCAACGCCGCGUGAGUGAUGAAGGUCUUCGGAUCGUAAAACUCUGUUAUUAGGGAAGAACAAAUGUGUAAGUAACUAUGCACGCCUUGACGGUACCUAAUCAGAAAGCCACGGCUAACUACGU